AACGAACGCUGGCGGCAGGCUUAACACAUGCAAGUCGAACGCGAGUAGCAAUACUCGAGUGGCGCACGGGUGCGUAACGCGUGGGAACCUUCCUCGUAGUUCGGAAUAACUCAGGGAAACUUGAGCUAAUACCGAAUGCCUCCUUCGGGCGAAAGAUUUAUCGCUACGAGAUGGGCCCGCGUCAGAUUAGGUAGUUGGUGAGGUAACGGCUCACCAGGCGGACGAUCUGUAGCUGGUCUGAGCGGAUGAUCAGCCACACUGGGACUGAGACACGGCCCAGACUCCUACGGGAGGCAGCAGUGGGGAAUAUUGGACAAUGGGGGCAACCCUGAUCCAGCCAUGCCGCGUGAGUGAAGAAGGCCUUCGGGUUGUAAAGCUCUUUCUACGGGGACGAUGAUGACGGUACCCGUAUAAGAAGCCCCGGCUAACUUCGUGCCAGCAGCCGCCGUAAGAC
rnacentral:rRNA from 1 species